AUUGAACGCUGGCGGCAGGCCUAACACAUGCAAGUCGAGCGGAGCGGCGGACGGGUGAGUAAUGCCUAGGAAUCUGCCUGGUAGUGGGGGAUAACGUCCGGAAACGGGCGCUAAUACCGCAUACUAUCAGAUGAGCCUAGGUCGGAUUAGCUAGUUGGUGGGGCAAAGGCCGACCCAGGCGACGAUCCGUAACUGGUCUGAGAGGAUGAUCAGUCAGACUGUAACUUAGCCCCGGGCCUGACUCCUACGCGAGGCAGCAGUGGGGAAUCUUGGACAAUUGGCGCAAUCCUGAUCCAGCCCUUCCGCGUGUGUGAAGAAGGUUUUCUGAUUGUAUAGCUCUUUAAGUUGGGAGGCGUUACCAACAGAAUAAGCACCGGCUAACUUCGUGCCAGCCGCCGCGGUAAUUC
rnacentral:rRNA from 1 species